rnacentral:tRNA from 1 species
GCAGAUGUAGCUCAGUGGAAGAGUAGUGUUUGCUUAGCAUGCAGCAGGGCCUGGGUUCAAUCCCCAGCACCACCA